AUGUCGGGCAGUCUGCUCCCUGCGGCUCCGGCCAUGCCUUGGGUUGUUCUCGUGGCCGUGGCCGUGGGCAUGUUAGCUGCGUGGUUAAUCCAUUUGGUCAUGAGAUGGAACAUGGGUCCACGAUGCAGCGCAGGGGCACUGCUGCCGCCGGGGUCAAGGGGUCUCCCGCUCCUCGGGGAGACGCUCGAGUUCUUUGCCCGGAACCCAUCGCUGGAGCUCAGCCCCUUCUUGAAGCGACGCCUGGAUAGGUACGGUCCAAUUUUUAGGACAAAUUUGAUUGGUGAAGACCUCAUUGUCUCCAUGGAUCCAGAGUUGAACAACUUAGUGUUCCAAAAGGAGGAGAAGCUAUUCCAAAUUUGGUAUCCGGAGUCAAUCAUGAGAAUCAUGGGAGCCGACUGCAUUAUUGCGACACUUGGGACCUUCCACAAGCACCUCAGGACUCUGGUACUUCGGCUCUUUGGCCCAGAAAAUCUCAGGCUAGUUCUGCUCCAUGAAGUGCAGCAGACGGCCCAGGCUAGUCUACUCUCCUGGCUUGAUCAUCCUAGCAUCGAAGUGAAAGAGGCAAUCUCUAGUAUGAUAUUCAGCAUCACGGCAAGGCGAUUAAUCAGCUAUGACUCCUCAAGAUCGGAUGGGAAGUUGUGGAAGCAAUUCGAUGCAUUUCUUCAAGGACUACUAGCAUUUCCACUUUACGUUCCCGGCACAGCAUUCUACAAAUGUAUGCAGGGCCGGAAGAAUGUCAUGAAGAUUUUGCAGGAAAUGCUAAAUGAGAGGAAGAAGGAAACACAUCGGGAGAGUGUUGACUUUAUCGAUCUCUUGAUCAACGAUAUGAAGGAGAAGAACACUAUAAUGAAUGAGAAAAUUGCAUUGGAUUUGCUCUUCUUAUUAUUGUUCGCAGGCUUUGAAACCACGUCAUCUGGUAUAACUGCGGCACUCAAGUUUCUAGCCGAUGAUCCUAAGGCGUUGCAGGAACUAAUAGAGGAGCACAACAACAUUCGGAAAAGAAGGAUUGAUCCUGACUCUGAAAUCACAUGGGAGGAAUACAAGUCCAUGAAAUUUACAUCUCAUGUCAUACAUGAGGCAUUAAGGCUGGCUAACAUUGCUCCCUUAAUGUUUAGAAAAGCAAUAGAGGAAGUUCAUAUUAAAGGUUACACUCUCCCAAAAGGAUCAAAGAUCAUGGUUAAUCCUUCUAGCAUUCAUUUGGAUCCUACGGUUUACAAGGAUCCCACUGUGUUCAAUCCCUGGAGGUGGAAGGAUACUACUGAACCAGCUGGUGGCUCCUCAAAGGAGUUCAUGGCCUUUGGAGGCGGGCUACGAUUAUGUGUUGGUGCCGACUUUGCUAAGCUACAAAUGGCCAUCUUCCUGCAUUGCUUAGUCACCAAAUAUAGUUGGACAGCGGUCAAGGGAGGAACCAUGGCGCUUUCUCCUGGACUACAGUUUCCUGAUGGUUUUCACAUACAACUUGUCCCAAAAGCUUGA
rnacentral:rRNA from 1 species